rnacentral:rRNA from 1 species
GUUUGCCAGCGAGUAANGUCGGGAACUCCAGGGAGACUGCCGGUGAUAAACCGGAGGAAGGUGGGGACGACGUCAAGUCAUCAUGGCCCUUACGAGUAGGGCUACACACGUGCUACAAUGGCGCAUACAGAGGGCGGCCAACUUGCGAAAGUGAGCGAAUCCCAAAAAGUGCGUCGUAGUCCGGAUUGGAGUCUGCAACUCGACUCCAUGAAGUCGGAAUCGCUAGUAAUCGUGGAUCAGAAUGCCACGGUGAAUACGUUCCCGGGCCUUGUACACACCGCCCGUCACACCAUGGGAGUGGGCUGCAAAAGAAGUAGGUA